GAUGAACGCUGGCGGCGUGCCUAAUACAUGCAAGUCGAGCGAACAGACGAGGAUCUUGCUCCUCUGACGUUAGCGGCGGACGUGUGAGUAACACGUGUAUAACCUCCCUUUAUUACUGGUAUAACUUCGGGACACCUGAGCUAAUACCGGAUAAUAUCUUGAACCGCAUUGUUCAUUAGUUAAAUUCGGUUUUUCUGUCUCUUAUAGAUUGAUCCGCGCCGCAUUAGCUAGUUGGUAAGGUAACGGCUUACCAAGGCAACGAUGCGUAGCCGACCUGAGAGGGUGAUAGGCCACACGGGAACGGAGACAGGGACAAGACUCCUACGGGAGGCAGCAGUAGGGAAUCGUACGCAAUGGGCGAAAGCAUGACGGAGCAACGACGCGUGAGUGAUGAAGGUCUUCGGAGCGUAAAACUCUGUUAUGAGGGAAGAAAAAAUGUGUAAGUAACUAUGCACGGACUGACGGUACCUAAUCAGAAAGCCACGGCUAACUACGUG
rnacentral:rRNA from 1 species